rnacentral:rRNA from 1 species
AACGAACGCUGGCGGCAGGCUUAACACAUGCAAGUCGAACGCAUCCUUCGGGGUGAGCGGCAGACGGGUGAGUAACGCGUGGGAACGUGCCCUUCAGUUCGGGAUAACCCAGGGAAACUUGGGCUAAUACCGGAUACGUGCGAGAGCAGAAAGAUUUAUCGCUGAAGGAUCGGCCCGCGUCUGAUUAGCUAGUUGGUGGGGUAAUGGCCCACCAAGGCGACGAUCAGUAGCUGGUCUGAGAGGAUGAUCAGCCACAUUGGGCCUGAGACACGGCCCGAACGCCUACGGGAGGCGUCAGUGGGGAAUAUUGAACAAUGGGCGCAAGCCUGAUCCAGCCAUGCCGCGUGAGUGAUGAAGGCCUUAGGGUUGAAAAGCUCUUUCGUCCGGGACGAUAAUGACGGUACCGGAAGAAGAAGCCCCGGCUAACUACGUGCCAGCAGCCGCCGUAA